rnacentral:lncRNA from 1 species
GCUGAGCACUGGCUCUGUUCAUUUACUGUGCCAGGCACUGAAGAUGGAGCAGCAAAUGAGACACAGUGCCUGACCUUAAGAGGUCCCAGGCAUGGAGAAAUGGCAAAAACCAUCACACUGCCCGCCUCUCUGAGCAGCAGGGACCUGCCAUGGGAACAAGAUGACCAGUACUUUAAAAAAAAAAAAAAAAAAAAAAAGUGAGCUUUCCCACAGUCGAUUUCAUCACAAGCUUAUUUGAAAUGUCCAGCCUAGAACACGGAAAGGCAAACAGGGCACAAAAAGAUGCCCUGGAAAUCAAGGAAAGAAGGUCUUCCUUAGCUGUGGGAUUCACCCUCAUGCACAUGCAUACUGCUGCCCGGUGGGGCCCAUGGGGAGAGCAGGACCAGUUCUGUAAUUGUGUUUGCCUAGAGCAGGAUUUCUCAACCUCUGUACUACAGGUCCUUUGGGGCAGGAAAAUUCUGUGUUGGGGGCUGCCCUGUGCAUUGCAGGAGGUUUAGGAGCAUCCCUGGCCCCUACCUACUAGUUGCCAGUAGCACCCUCCUUUGCAAGUUCUGACAGCCAAUAACGCCUCCAGACAUUGCCAAGUGUCCCUAGGGUCAAGAUCACAUCUGGCUAACAACAACUGCUUUAGAAUCUGAGGUUUCCUGCCAAAGGACACCUCCAGCUGACCCUGCCGCAGUGAGGAAGCAGAUCAGCCUGACAUAAAGAAGGACAGCCCCAAGGAAUCCUUGCCCCCCAAACUCAGCACUGUCUAGGCUGAGGUUGGCCUUGGACAUGGUUACAUUCCAAGCCUCCUCAGGCCACCACUUUAAAAAGGUGGGACUGAGCUGGGCCUGGAUUGCAUUAGAAAGUUUCAGCUCUCCUGGGUCUAAGAGGUGAUGAAAGCAUCAGAAAUGGCUGGGGGGCAGGGGGAGUGCAUCUUCCAUUUUCCUCAGGUUCCUCUGUGGUUAUUAGAACAUUUCUGAUAUAAUAACAAUAAAUAUCAGAAAAGGAAAAAAGAGGGAAAAGUGCUUUAUAGGGGUCCUAGGAGAUGGAGUAUCCCAGGAGGCAAGGUGUGGCAGCAAAAGAGAGGACAGGCACUGGGGCUGGAAAAUCCUGGGUUUGAGAGUGAUUCUGUCACUUCCUAAACAUGAGCCCCUGGAACUUCACCUCUCUGAGUAUCCAUUUCUACCUCUGUGAAAUAAGAACAUCUCAGGGCAGUUGGGAGGACUGAACAGGAUACGGGCAGGAUGCUUUGGGGCAGUGCUUGCCACGCGGGAGAAGCUCCAUGCAGACUUGCUGCAGCGUCCUCCCUCCCCUCCAUUUCACAGAUGCAUACGCUGAGAUGACCUGCCCACAGGCACGCAGCUGGGCUCAUUCCAGAUGUGCUGAAAACCACUGCUGAAGGCCUGAUCAGGAAGUAACUUUCCCUCCCUGGCAUGAGUUCCUUCAUCCAUGAAAUGGGUAGAUAGGGGAGGGUCAGACUGGAUGAUAUCUGGAGGCUUAUAUGGCCCUGAAGUUCCAUGAAUUAAAA